rnacentral:tRNA from 1 species
GUAGGGGUUCUUGAGUUAAUUCAAAUUAAAAAGACGCAAGGGACUUAAAAUCCUUCGUAGGUUAUACCUACGUGCCGGUUCGAGUCCGGCCCCCGGCA